GUGGCGUGCGGGGAGGGGUUGGGAAGGAUCGCUGCGGUACCUCUGCCCCGGUGGGACAGGGGAGAGGGAAGGAAGAGAAAAAAGAAAAAAAAAAGCGGGGGAGGAGUCCUGGGCUGAGGUAAAAACGGCUGAACGGGUGAGGAGGAGAGAAGGGAAGCGGAACAGGCAGUGCGGUGACAGCGCUCGAAGGGACGCUCCCCUCCGAGGGGCGUCCAGAUCCCCAGCCAGCUCCUGAGCGAAAAGGGUGGCUUCCCCCUCAUGGCACCUGUCUGCCCUCCGUGCUGCUGAGCGUGGUGUUGUAGCUGAAGCACUGGCGUGUUAGCCACAAAUCUGAAGCGUGGCACCGUGUGAGCUGCCGUGAGGAAAAUUUUCUCCAUCCUGGCCUGACCCAGUCCAAAGUGAUGUGAGGCACAUGCUCAGAGGUGACCCAAAUCACAAUCACUGUGUCCUAGCCAGUUGUGCUCAAAUACGAAGAUAACUGCGUGACACACGAUCG